rnacentral:rRNA from 1 species
AUUGCUGUGGUAUUUUGACUAUACGAAGGUAUUGAAAUAAGACUUUAAAUGGGUGCUAAGAGAAUGGUUGAACAAUUAUUAACUUUCUUUAAUUUAAAAAUUAAAUUUAAUUUUUUUGUGAGGAAGCAAAAAUAAAUAUUAGGGACGAGAAGACCCUAUGAAUUUUAAUUUAGUUUUAGUUUUAUUUUAAAAUUAUCAUUAAAUUUGGUUGGGGUGAUGGGAAAAGAAUAUAUAUCUUUUAUUUUUUUUUUUGAAAAUUGGUUCCGUUUUUAACGAUUAAAUGAAAAAAAUACUCUAGGGAUAACAGCGUAAUAAUUUUGGAUAGUUCAUAUAGAUAAAAUAGUUUGCGACCUCGAUGUUGGAUUAGGAUUCUUUUUCGGCGAAGA